rnacentral:rRNA from 1 species
UGGUGCCAGCAGCCGCGGUAAUUCCAGCUCCAAUAGCGUAUAUUAAAGUUGUUGCAGUUAAGAAGCUCGUAGUUGAAUUUCUGCCUUAUCAUUAAUUUCGCUUCCGAACGUAAUUUUAUUGAUUUGGCAUCUUCUGGAUUAUAUAUUAUUUUUAAUAUAUUUUUCCAGUAUUUUACUUUGAGAAAACUAGAGUGUUUCAAACAGGCUUUUGCCUUGAAUACUACAGCAUGGAAUAAUGAAGUAGGACUAUUGGUUCUAUUUUGUUGGUUAUCGAACCAUAGUAAUGGUUAAUAGGAGCAGUUGGGGGCAUUCGUAUUUAACUGUCAGAGGUGAAAUUCUUAGAUUUGUUAAAGACGAACUACUGCGAAAGCAUUUGCCAAGGAUGUUUUCAUUAAUCAAGAACGAAAGUUAGGGGAUCGAAGACGAUCAGAUACCGUCGUAGUCCUAC